rnacentral:rRNA from 1 species
GUGGGGAAUAUUGGACAAUGGGCGCAAGCCUGAUCCAGCCAUGCCGCGUGUGUGAAGAAGGCCUUUUGGUUGUAAAGCACUUUAAGCGAGGAGGAGGCUCCUUUAGUUAAUACCUAAAGAGAGUGGACGUUACUCGCAGAAUAAGCACCGGCUAACUCUGUGCCAGCAGCCGCGGUAAUACAGAGGGUGCGAGCGUUAAUCGGAUUUACUGGGCGUAAAGCGUGCGUAGGCGGCUUUUUAAGUCGGAUGUGAAAUCCCUGAGCUUAACUUAGGAUUUGCAUUCGAUACUGGAAAGCUAGAGUAUGGGAGAGGAUGGUAGAAUUCCAGGUGUAGCGGUGAAAUGCGUAGAGAUCUGGAGGAAUACCGAUGGCGAAGGCAGCCAUCUGGCCUAAUACUGACGCUGAGGUACGAAAGCAUGGGGAGCAAACAGGAUUAGAUACCCUAGUAGUCC